rnacentral:rRNA from 1 species
AACCUACCUUGUACUGGGGGACAACAGUUAGAAAUGACUGCUAAUACCGCAUAAGACCACAGUUUCGCAUGAAACAGGGGUAAAAACUCCGGUGGUACAAGAUGGACCCGCGUCUGAUUAGCUAGUUGGUGGGGUAACGGCCUACCAAGGCGACGAUCAGUAGCCGGCCUGAGAGGGUGAACGGCCACAUUGGGACUGAGACACGGCCCAAACUCCUACGGGAGGCAGCAGUGGGGAAUAUUGCACAAUGGGCGAAAGCCUGAUGCAGCGACGCCGCGUGAGUGAAGAAGUAUUUCGGUAUGUAAAGCUCUAUCAGCAGGGAAGAAAAUGACGGUACCUGACUAAGAAGCCCCGGCUAACUACGUGCCAGCAGCCGCGGUAAUACGUAGGGGGCAAGCGUUAUCCGGAUUUACUGGGUGUAAAGGGAGCGUAGACGGCAAGGCAAGUCUGAUGUGAAAGCUCGGGGCUCAACCCCGGAACUGCAUUGGAAACUGUUUUGCUAGAGUGCAGGAGAGGUAAGUGGAAUUCCUAGUGUAGCGGUGAAAUGCGUAGAUAUUAGGAGGAACACCAGCGGCGAAGGCGGCUUACUGGACUGUAACUGACGUUGAGGCUCGAAAGCGUGGGGAGCAAACAGGACAAGAUACCCUGGUAGUCCACGCCGUAAACGAUGAAUUACUUGGUGUCGGGGGUCGAAUAGGACUUUCGGUGCCGCAGCUAACGCAAUAAGUAAUCCCUCUGGGGAGUACGUUGGCAAGAAAGAAACUCAAAAGAAUAGACGGGGACCCGCACAAGCGGUGGAGCAUGUGGUUUAAUUCGAAGCAACGCGAAGAGCCUUACCAAGUCUUGACAUCCCAUUGAAAAACAGAGUAAUGUCUGUUUCCUCUUCGGAGCAAUGGAGACAGGUGGUGCAUGGUUGUCGUCAGCUCGUGUCGUGAGAUGUUGAGUUAAGUCCCGCAACGAGCGCAACCCCUAUCUUUAGUAGCCAGCAAUUCGGUUGGGCACUCUAGAGAGACUGCCAGGGAUAACCUGGAGGAAGGCGGGGAUGACGUCAAAUCAUCAUGCCCCUUAUGACUUGGGCUACACACGUGCUACAAUGGCGUAAACAAAGAGAAGCAAAACCGCGAGGUCAAGCCAAUCUCAAAAAUAACGUCUCAGUUCGGAUUGUAGUCUGCAACUCGACUACAUGAAGCUGGAAUCGCUAGUAAUCGCGAAUCAGAAUGUCGCGGUGAAUACGUUCCCG